CCCGCUGAACUUAAGCAUAUCACUAAGCGGAGGAAAAGAAAUUAACUAAGAUUGCCCCAGUAACGGCGAGUGAAGCGGCAAAAGCCCAAAUUGGUAAUCUUCACACCUCGUGUGACGAAUUGUAAUCUACAGGUGGAACACUCAAUUAGUGGCGACGCAGAAGUGCCCUAGAAUGGGCCGCCAGAGAGGGUGACAGCCCCGUAUGUGGUGUCUCUACUUAACGAGUGUCCUUCGAAGAGUCGGGUUGUUUUGAAUUGCAGCCCUAAGUGGGAGAUAGACUUCUUCUAAGGCUAAAUAUAUAUGGGAAACCGAUAGCGAACAAGUACUGUGAAGGAAAGAUGAAAAGAACUUUGAAAAGAGAGUCAAAAGACUUGAAAUCGUUGUGAAGGAAGCGGUAGAAAUUUAUUCUUCGGCCGUGAACAAAGCUUGUCGCCUAACCAUUGGAGUUCUGAGCACUUUAAAGGCUCUCUAUUCCACUUGGGGAAGUGAUUGGUGAGUUCUAGGUUGUGAGGCAAAAUGGGGUUCCACAUCCACAAAAGCUUGGUUAACCUGAGCCGGUUCGCCGGUUAGUUCUCUUUAGCUUGUGGGCGUGCAGCCUGAGGGUGCUUUGUGCGAUUUUGCUAAAGUGGUUUUUACCGACCCGUCUUGAAACACGG
rnacentral:rRNA from 1 species